UAUUUACAUAGACCAUAGCAUGCAUAAUACAUACUUUAUAUGCAAAAAAAACCCAGAUGCCAGAUCUGCGCAGGAGACCAGAGCAUUGCUUUUGAAAGUUUGCUGCUGAAUCUGGUUGGCUGAACGGUAGAGAAUUUCUGUAUAAAUUUUCUUAUACAAUCCACAGCCCUCAGGAAGAGCAAGGUAGCCCGCGACGCUAAGGAAGCGCUCGUGUUUUGUUUUGAUGCACGUCAGCAGCAGUUCUGCAGACGCUGGGCCGUGGGCAGGUGAGGCGUCUCCGAGAGCCUUAGAGGAGCGCCGGCGUUGGCGGCAGCGGCUCCGUACACCUCCUCCACCAGCUACGGCAGGCUCUUCUCACACCGCCCUUGACGAUUUCUUGGCACAACAUGAAAAACAAAUGUUGAACUCUUUUUCCUAAUUUGUAGAACAUUUUCGAUUGCUUUACUCGUGUGGAAAAAAGGACGUGCCUGUAGUUAUGGUCUUUGGAGCUAUGUUGUGGGGGAAGUUUGUCAAGAUUGAAAAAUAACAUUUUUUUUUCCUUUGGAUUUUGGAUAUGGGAGUACUCCAAAACUCCAUAGAUUGUGUGAAAAAAGUGUUGGAGAGUGGGCUUUCUCAGCAUGAGACUGAAGUGCUCACGCUGGCGCUGUUACCAUGGGUGAAGAUGGACGUUUCGGGAUACUUCAGACUACCUGUCUGUCCCCUGGUAAUUAUAGAAUGUAUGCUGGAAGCUCCUCCUUCGAAGAUGUAUUUAUGCAAAAAUUCUCAGGCUUGGCUCGUUCUUCUGGUGUCUCCAGCGAAGGUCCUCGUGAGCCGCUCCGGCAGAGACAGGGACUGCUCAGCUGCUGUGCCGUGGCGGAUCCUGCAACCGGCGGUGCAGCCGUGGCCUCUAGCCUGGGCACGCUUCUGCCGUGAGCCAGGCCAUGGACUUUGGACAAGGGAAAAACUAAAGAGUGUUUCAGUGACAUGGAGAGAAGAAGGAGAAAAAGGUCCUGCGCGUGGGCUCAGACAGCCUGGAAGCGCCGGCAGCAGUCAGCAGGAGGAGAGUGUCGCCGGGAUGUGCCGCUGCAAGGCCGAGAUAACCCAGCUCCUCGUCUUGCCCUUGGCUGCUAGGGUCUGCGUGCAGGCGGAGCUCUCCUGGCGCGGGGCGCUGCACAACGCCAUGCGCAGCCGUACCCCGAUGGCCGAGCGGAGAAAUCUGCGCUGCCGUGCUGUACGCUCGGUACGAGACACGUUUCUGGAUCAGUAAUCUAUCAUAAUUUUGUUGGACAGAAGGGAGUAGCACCAGGUUUCUUUCUUCUGGAGGAGAGAGAUUUUGAUUAAUUUUUCCCCUUCUCUUCAGGGUUAGCACUUUGCAUUAUAUAUGUUUCAAGGCAGGGAAAUUGCUUGCUUGACAGCUGUGGAUAAAACAUGAAACUUUAGAUAAUGUUUUAAAUUCACCAGGGACAAACCAGCUUCAAUGUAAUUGAUAAAUUAAACCGAAUUCAAAUAUCA
rnacentral:lncRNA from 1 species